AUUUGUGCAUGCCAAAGAACAAGACAGUCCGACUUUUUUGCAACCACAUUUAGCACUGCAUCCCUUUUUGCAGUUGCAAAAAAUAGUGUUCAGCAGUUUUUCCGGCGCAGAUGGAAGUAAAGUUUGAACUGGCUCUAAUAUAUUGUUGACCAACUUCCAACCCCAGUCUGUAGGGUCUAGCUGAUAACCAAGCCACACUUGAACUUGGUAAUAUACUCGAAAAAGAUGUUGGUGAGCAGCAACUGAGGUUGGAGGAAGACAAGCUAAUUGAACUUGUUUUUUAUUUUUAGUAUUUUUAACGAAACAUGCAUAUCGAUGCUUAUCUAAACAGGUAGUUUUUUUAGGAGCUCCGUACAUAGAAAGAAGAAAGCGGAUGUCGUUGGUAAUAACUUCUUGUUGAGUUGAAUUACUCUUUUUAAAAACUUCAGCACAUUGAAUUAAAUCUUGUUUUUCAAACAUUUUGAAAACUGCUGUUUUACCCCUCCUGUAAAAUGCAGAUGUCGUAUCACAGCCAGUUAUUGCGUGUAAAAAUAGUACAUGAUCUUUACACUUCACUAAAGUAAAUAAACUUUUUGAUGAAUAUAUAUCUGAUUGAUGCUGAGCUUUUCCUGGUUUUAAGAAAAAAAUAGUUUUUUCAGUUGGCGUUCGAGCAGUGAGUAAUACAAGUAAGUCAACAUCUUCACCAACAACAAUAGUUGUAUUUGUCAAAUUGAAUUGCUCUAUUGCUGUUUCAAUAAUCAAUACAUCAGCAUCAUUAUUAGCUUGUUUUACUAAUAUAUUUUCAGCCGUAAACUUUUCUUUCAACAUUGAAAUGAACCGAGAAUUGUUGUGGGUAUUUGUAAGAAAUUUCUGUUGACUGGUUGGGACUGUCAUAAGUUCAUCAAAUAAAAUAUCAGAAGAUGAAUUUCAUUUAUUAUAGCAAGUAUAAGACCCUAGCCACGCACACAAUAGAACAAGAGACAGAUGUCUCGAAGUUACACUGGCUUAAAGAUUAAGGGACUGGGUUUCAUUUUACCUGAUAUUCUUGUAGUUAAAACUUAUGUAUAUUUUAUAUUAUGUAUAUACGUGGCGUACUCAUGCAUAUUAUGACGAUAACAACUUGUAUAACUUUUUGAAUCGUUAUAUCUCAGAAACGGUGGCUCGUAAGAAAAAAAGUAUUGAUACAUUUUUUAUAGAUAAUUUUAUGAUCUACAAUUUUUGUCUGAGGUACUUUUAUGAUAAAACUUACCGUUUUGCUGAAAAUCGCGAAAAACUCAUUUUUUGACCUUUGACCUUGAAUUAAAUUUUUUCCUUACAGGGGAAUGAUGGGGAACUUCUAGACAUUGUUUAUAAUUAUAUUUUGAACAAUUUCACUGAAAUUCAGCUUGUUGGGACUUUAUGUAACUUCACUCUCAUUUUUUGGUCUAAAUUGACCGGACUACAAAGAAAGGUCAUCUUAUGUGACAAAUAACACCGGCACACAAAAAAAAAAAAGUUGUCCGUACUUUUGACCGGACCUACCUAUCAUUAUGUAUUUUGUCGCGCUAAAUCUGAAUCUGAAGUCAGUUUUGCCCGUACACCCUCAAAAUUUUGAGUAAAAUCCAAAAAACCCAAAAAAAAGCGAAAAACUGCAGUCACAGCGAUGAAUAAAAUUUUGUGGACCCAGAUCAAGUAUGAUGCUUACGUAUUUCAAUUCACUGAAUUUGAAUCUGAACGUUAAUUAGCCCGUUGAGCCGUCAAAAUUUGAAAAAAUAGCAAAAAACCCGAAAAAAUAGCAAUAAAUCAUGAAAAAUCGAAAUUAU